rnacentral:rRNA from 1 species
UACAGAGGGUGCAAGCGUUAAUCGGAAUUAUUGGGCGUAAAGCGUGCGUAGGCGGUUAUGUAAGUCAGGUGUGAAAGCCCAGGGCUCAACCUUGGAAUUGCAUUUGAGACUGCAUAGCUAGGGUGCGGAAGAGGGAAGCGGAAUUUCCGGUGUAGCGGUGAAAUGCGUAGAUAUCGGAAGGAACACCAGUGGCGAAAGCGGCUUCCUGGUCCAGCACCGACGUUCAGGCACGAAAGCGUGGGGAGCAAACAGG